GAGGUUUCUAUGGAGUCAGAGAGCACAAAAGAAAAUGCUGAUGAAGCUGCGGGAGAGAAUACUUUUAAGCAUGAAGCAGAAGAAAAUGGCAUAAUUGACAAUGAUAAUAAAAUCGAACCUGAGCAUGAUAAUAUUGUUGAAGAUAAGGAAAAUGAUAUUAAUGUGAAAGAUCAGGAUUCAGCUGCAGAAGAAACCGGGGAAAAACUGCAAGGGGAAGAGUCUGUAGAAGAAAAGGAAAAUCAAAACGCUCUUAACACUCAAACCUCAGAGGAAAGUUCGGUGACUCAAAACCAAGAAGUCGAAGAUACGGUGAAAGAAAACACAGGAUUGUCGAAUCAUGAAGAAAUUGUAGGUGAACAAGAAAGCCAGCAAACCGAAAGUGAUAAAUAUGGUACUGGAAAACAUGACGUUGAAGAGAUCAAAGUUAGUGUUGGCAGUUCAGAGAAUACGGAGAAUCUAAUAUCAGAUGAAGAUCGACAACAACGCAUAGAAGAGCAUCAAAAACAGGAAGACGAACAAGUCCAACAAGGACAGAAAGAAGGACAAUCACAAGAGGAUACUAAGGGGAUUACAAGUGAUGAUCAAAUCCAACACGAUGAGGCAUCCAUAUCCUCAGCUGAAGAUGAUCCAACCUUCAAAGAUGCAAAGGAGACUCGUACAGAAGUGAACAAUCAAGAGAACAAGAAUUCCAAGAAGAACGAAGGAGAGUCAUUUCCAAAUAGAGAGAACCAUGGGAUACCAAAAGAAUCAAAAGAAUCCGAGAAGGCAUGGUCUACUCAAGCAGAUCAGUCUGAGAACCAAAAAGAGAGACGAAAAGGAGGAUCUGACGACAAAGAUAGUAGCAUCUAUGGAUACACAUGGCAGUUAUGCAAUGUAACAGCUGGUACAGAUUACAUACCUUGUUUGGACAAUGAGAAAGCAAUAGCAAAGCUUCACAGCAGAAAGCACUUCGAGCAUCGCGAAAGGCACUGUCCUGAGG
rnacentral:lncRNA from 1 species